rnacentral:rRNA from 1 species
AUUGAACGCUGGCGGAAUGCUUUACACAUGCAAGUCGAACGGCAGCACGGACUUCGGUCUGGUGGCGAGUGGCGAACGGGUGAGUAAUGUAUCGGAACGUGCCCAGUCGUGGGGGAUAACGUAGUGAAAAUUACGCUAAUACCGCAUACGAUCUAUGGAUGAAAGCGGGGGAUCGCAAGACCUCGCGCGAUUGGAGCGGCCGAUAUCAGAUUAGGUAGUUGGUGGGGUAAAGGCCCACCAAGCCAACGAUCUGUAGCUGGUCUGAGAGGACGACCAGCCACACUGGAACUGAGACACGGUCCAGACUCCUACGGGAGGCAGCAGUGGGAAAUUUUGGACAAUGGGCGAAAGCCUGAUCCAGCCAUUCCGCGUGCAGGAUGAAGGCCCUCGGGUUGUAAACUGCUUUUGUACAGAACGAAAAGGUUUCUACUAAUACUAGGAGCUCAUGAAGGUACUGUAAGAAUAAGCACCGGCUAACUACGUGCCAGCCGCCGCGGUAA